UCCCUCUCAUUUUACUCUACAAAAUUGCCUCUUAUCAUUUUAGCAAAUAGCUUUUUAUCAGUUUUCUCUAAAAAUUAGUUCCUAAAAAAUUCAAUAAAAAUUGUCAAAGAUUUGUCUUAGUUAUAAUUUAAUAAAUUGUUGAAGUAUUGAAAAGAUAGUGAGUGUUUCCUUUGAUCAGUGAGGAAGUGAGAAAAACUGAGUUAAUUGGCUUAGAAGAAGUCCUCUGCCCGUUGUCCAGAUCUUUGUUCCAGCCAGCGAUCGGUUGUAUCUCAUCGAGCGACCAUAGUUGUUGGAAAAAAAACAAAGGAAAAUUUUGCUCCAACGAGCCCGUGUGGAAGCAUAGGCUCACAUUAAUCAUAAUUUUAUGCUAUUCCAGUUAUAUUCCGCAUUUCUUCACACUUCAGCAUACAUUCUAUCAUUCUUCUCCUUCUCACUCAUCUAAUUAAAGGUAUACUCAUCAAUUCACUCUUCCACUCACGCAUGCACUCAUCCUCAUUUAUCCAUUCAUCUCAUUUACUUAAAGAUCUUCCUGAAGUCUUCAAUCUUUUGAAUUCAAUCAAAUCGAUUCUGAAGGAUUCCUCUUGGAGAGUUUAAUUUCUAACUUUGAAAAAAAAAGUGAAAAUUAGAAAAAAAGAUGGAAUAUGAACAUUCCCUUCUUCUUUAAUUUUAUUGAAUCUGUGUUAUAACAUCAGAAACAACUUAAUCAAUAACAAAAUCAAAUUUUACAAAAACUAACCCAGUGUUGAAGCUUAAUAAAUUUAAAAAAAAUGUUUUUUGCUCUAUACUAUAAAAUUAAAUAGUAUAUAAAAUAAUAACAAUGUUGUUUUUUUAGUUUAUUUUGCAAUGUUAUAGCUACGUAAGUAAAUAAUGUCGCAAACGUAAUAUUCUUAAUCCGGUAAUUCUAUUACCAUUUUAAUAGCUGAAGCUAUAUAAUUUAACUUUUCUUUUUUUUAAUACAGAGGAAGGUUUUAAAUACUUGAAGUGAACGUAAAACUCGUCAGUUUUGUUUAAAGUUUUAAGGUUAUUGCAACAUAUACUAGCGCUUAACUUUUAAGGUUUGCAGUCAUUUUCAAUAUGCGAUAUAUUGCAUAUUUUGUUGUAAUCCUCGGGGUUAGUGCUAAACCUCCAAGUUUUUAUGAAUGUGCACUUGUGAAUAAUAACGAAUGCUCUUCAUUUAACUUUGGUAUAUGCUGCCAAAUUUUCCCUUAUAAUUCUGAUGCUUACACUAAUUGUAUGGGAUAUUGCGUGAACACUGUAAGUGACUACCUUAAGAAACUUUUCUAUAAUAUUUCUUUAAUUGAUUAUAAAAUAACUUUUAUUUUUUGUGUAUUGAACUUUAAACAGCCUGGAGAUAUAGGUGAGUUUAGUUUAACAAUAUUGAUAAGCUAUUUCUCAUGGUUAAUCUCGAAUUUAUUCAUAUAGGUAUCUGCUCUUACCUGACGGACUCCUUUUGUAAGCCACAGGAUUUGGGAAAUGCUGACAAAAUUGAUUCUUUGUGCUGCCGCGAAAAUUUCGAAAACUGCUGCACGGGCAUUCCAAAUUCAGAAGACUCAUUGUAUUUUUCACAAUGCAUAAAGAAGGCGUGCUUUGUUCAACAAGGUCGUCGUCCUCGAUCUUUCCUGGAUGUAUUUUUGAAUGUGAUUAAUGAAAUAAUGUUUAGGCCAUUUGGAUAUGAACUGCGUCAGUAAAUUUAUCAGAUGAUAUUAAUAAAUAAAUUUUCAAUUGAAUUUUUUUUUGUUAGAAAAGACAAAAUAUCAACAGAUUUUUAUUUCUUAAUUCUCCGGCACAUUUGAAAUCAAAAUUAACAUCCUUUUCUUUCUCACAUGUUUUGCAUAUGUCUAUCUCAUUCUUUCCAACUCAAAAUUCGAUUGAAUUAAAUUAAAUUUGGUGUGAUGUUCAAAAGAAGAAGAAGAAGGGUUUGAAAGAGUGAGAUAGACAUAUUCAUGGCGUAUGAGAAUGAUAGGUGUGUAAAUUUUAAUUACUUUCCUGAUCUAAAACCUGUUCCGCCCCCAUUUUUUGACCCUCUCGUCCUUAAAGGGUUAAGGAUCACAACAAAUUCAAUUUAGAUUUCAGUUCGAAAGAGUAGGAUAGAUAGACAGAGAAAAAAGGGAGAUUUAGAUUUCAUGAUUUUUUUUCUAAUUCAAAAGACUAUUAAAGGCUUUAAUUUCUAAGCUCAUUCAGGAAGAGAAAAAGCCUUCUUUUAAGUUGUGUUAAAUAUAUUUCAAUGAGAUUUGCAUUUCAAAGACGUCAAUUACGGAAGACUGAUUCAUUCUUUAAAAUAUUUUCACUAUUAUUUCUAUUUUGAUGAAUAUUUUUCACUGAGAGAGUAAAAUUAUGGAAAACAUUUUUGGAAAAUGAAAAAAAAGUACAUUUGGCCAGUAAAAUAUGAAAUUUGUUCAUAAAGUGGCUCUGGCACGCCUUUUAGAUCAGAAAAAUUUGAGGAAAUCAAAAUUAAUAUACUUUACUCUCUCGCAGACGCUUUGUUUUUAUCUAUCUAUCCUAGUCCAAUUCUUUCGCACUCCAAAUUCGAUUGAACUAAAAUGAAUUUAUUUUGACAUUUAAAAGAAGAAGAAGAAAGAGUGCGAAAAAAUGAGAUAGACAUACGGAUGCAAAACGUAUGAGAAAGUAAGGGAUUCCAAUUUCGGCUUCAUGGAAUUUUCCUGAUCUAAAAGCUGUGCUGCAGUCAUAACUUCUUAAUUUUCCCAUUGCCACUUAUAUUUCACUAUGUACCAAUUUUUAUUUUAAUGCCUCCAGCACACCUUUUAGACCAGUAAAACUUCAUGAAACCAAAAUUCGCGUCCCUUUUUCUAAAAUAUUUGAAUAAGUCUAUCCUACUCUUUCGGUUUGAAAAUUCGACUGAACUAAAUUUAAUUUGGUGUGAUGUUCAAAAGAAGAAGAAGAGUGCGAAAGAGUAGAAUAGAGAUAUACAAAUAAAGCUUUUAAGAAAGAAAGGGAUGCGAACUUUAUGAAAUUUACCUGAUAUAAAAGGUGCACCGGAGCCAUUUCUUACCAUUUUUACCAAAAUACUGUACAAUUUGCUGCAGCCUUAAAAUGAUAACAAAUAUAUUUCUGUGACCUCAUUAACAUUUGAUUUUUUUUUCACCGUGUGAUGUCAUUAUUUUUUCUCUG